GUGAGUGAUGGUGACAGGCAGAGGAAGAGCGGAUAGUUCGGGAGGCGGCCUGGAAACCGUCAGUGAGAACAAAGGGUGAGGGGGAACUGGAAACCGGGGGUGAAGAUGAAGCGCGAGGAUUAAGGAUAUCAGAAAGAGAGGAUUUACAGACAGGAAACUCAAACCAAACACCACACUCGAUUCAUCAGGACCUGAACAUCAUCGGCCUUUGAGUGUGGAAUGAGAAAUGUUUGUCUGUUCUGCCAGUGGGAAAAGAUUUUAAGCAGCAGUGUGACAGGAAAAGCACUGAGACACACACAGACUUGAGCGAGAGUGUUCUAGUGUACUGACUGUGGAAAGAGUUUUAACCAAUUACACAGGCUGAAAAAAACAAACCAUUCACAGUGAGGAGAGACUGUACACGUGUUCUCUGUGUGGACAAGGCUUCAAUUGGUCAUCCAACUUGGAGGGACACAAGGACACCCGCACCAUGGAGAAACCAUGGAAAUGUGGGGACUGUGGGAAAGGAUUCACUUGCCCUUCCCGGCUGGAAACUCAUCGACGCACUCACAGUGGAGAGAGGCCGUUCACCUGCUCUGAGUGUGGGAAGGGAUUCACUCAGUCGUCCCACUUAGCACUACACCAGCGAGUUCACACCGGGGAGAGGCCAUUCACCUGCUCUGAGUGUGGGAAGGAAUUCACUCAGUCAUCCCACUUAGCACUACACCAGCGAGUUCACACUGGGGAGAAGCCAUUCACCUGCUCUGUGUGUGGGAAGGGAUUCACAGUGUUAGCCAGCCUACAGGGACACCAGCUCGUUCACACUGAGGAGAAGCCAUUCAGCUGCGCCUCCUGUGGCAAGAGCUUCAGACAGUCAUCCACGCUCACUGCUCACCAGCGACUUCACACCGGGGAGAGGCCGUUCACCUGCUCCGAGUGUGGGAAGGGAUUCACUCGGUCAUCCCACCUGCUGACCCACCAGCGAAUCCACACUGAGGAGAGACCGUUCAGCUGCACACAAUGCGGAAAGAGCUUCAGGCAUUCAGGCAACCUAAUUUCACACCAGCGAAUCCACACUGAGGAAAGGCCGUUCAGCUGCAUACAAUGUGGAAAGAGCUUCAGGCAUUCAGGCACCUUAAUUUCACACCAGCGCAUUCACACCGGGGAGAGGCCGUUCACCUGUUCCCUGUGUGGGAAGAGAUUCACUCAGUCAGCCAACCUGAUGGUACAUCAGCAAGUUCACAAAUGAUUACAGGAUUUGGAUUCUGCUGUUAUUGCUGCGGUUAAUCACAUCCAGGACUGAACCAUGACAGUUGUGCUUUGUUUCUGCUGAUGUUAAUAAUCCCUGUAACUGGGCUGGGGUUUAACAUUUUGGAUCUGUAGCUGAUUGUGUUCUCGGGACUGCAGUGUCCCUUUAAGAACCGCCGACUCUGAUCUUUCCCCAUAAUUCAAGAACCCUCAUCAGAAAUUAGUUUACGACAAGAUUCUGAACUUUGACUUCAAUCCCAAAUUGAUCUUUGGUAUGAACUCCACAGUUCAGUGUCUGAGACGUUCUACUGAUUAACAUCUCCAAUUAGAAAGUGCUGAUUUAAUCCUUGCUGACAAUUCUUACUGACUUGUACAUUACUCACAGUGACACCUCCAUUAUCCACCAGAAAGAAGGGGAAUGGGAAUUGAUGGAGAAUCAAAGGUUCCCAAAUGUUACCCCUCCCGCCUGAUACAGAAAUCCCCUCGGCACGGGAAUGGAGACAAGUUCAAUCCAAGUAACAGACUGUAAGAAAUCGCUGUCUAAAAGCCUUAUAAAAUCUUAUGCAAUAUGAUAGAAAUAGCUCACUUUCUCUGCAUUAUGAAGAAAGCUUCCAUAGCAGCUUGCUGGCUGACAAACACAGGACAGGCCUGUUUUCUCUGCCAAGGACAUGUCUCUAGCACAGGCCCUGAAACAAGACAUUUCUAACCCUGAUACAGUUGGAUCUCCUGAACCAUAUGUAAAUCAACUUUCUGUGUGAAGAUCAAUGGGGCUUUUGAGAGGAAAAAUAAGUCACUUUGGACAAGAAGGGAAAUUUUGAAGUGAUCCACACUGGCUUUAGCCCAGUUCCAAUGCUCUGGCUCACACCAGUUAACCCAGGGGAGACGGCCAUCACCAGCUACAGAGACCAGUACUCACUCUGCUUCCAGGAUGGCUAACUGGUCGAAGAAAAUAAGGGACAAUUCGGCACGGGUAUUGGAAGAGUGAGUCUUAAAUAAGGGAGACUCAGACCAGAAGAAAUACUUGUCUGUUCUGUUCGGGGGAGAAGAUUUCAAACAUCAUUGUGACUGGGAAAGCACCGAGACACACACACGCCCGAGUGAGAGUGUUCCAGUGAACUGACUGUGGAAAGAGCUUUCACCAGUUACACAGCCUGAUAGUCAUUUCAGCAUUCACGACAGGGAGGAACUGUACCUUUCUCAUACGUGGGCGAGGCUUCCGCCGAUUCUCCCACCCGGAGAGGCACAAAGGAGCCGGCAAAAUGGCAAAGCCUUGGAAAUGCGGGGACUGUGGGAAGGUUUUCAGUUGCCCAUCCCAACUGGAAACCCAUCGGCGCAGCCACACUGGGGAGAGGCCAUUCACCUGCUCCGUGUGCGGGAAGGGGUUCACCCAGUCCUCAAACCUCCAGAAACACCAGGCCAUUCACACGGGAGUGAAACCCUUCACCUGCUCCGUGUGCGGGAAGGGAUUCAUUCAGUCCCGCCAUCUGCUGACCCACCAGCAAAUUCACACCGGGGAGAGGCCGUUCACCUGCUCUGAGUGUGGGAAGGGAUUCAAUCGGUCAGAGAACCUGAUCAAACAUCAGCAGCUUCACACCAAUAAGAAACCCUUUAAAUGUCCUGCUUGUGAGAAGAGCUUUAGAACGGCAAGCGACCUGCUGAUGCACCGAAGGACUCACACAGGGGAGAGGCCUUUCACCUGCACCGAGUGUGAGAAGGCAUUCACUCGGUUGCAACACCUAGUGAGACACCAGCGAGUUCACAAGUGACUGCAAGGGUUGGAUUCUGCUGUUAUUGCUGCUGUUAUCACACCGAGGACUUGAACCAUGUUCAUUCUGACAGUUGGGGUUUGCUUCUGCUGAUGUUAAUAAUCCCUGUAUCUGGGCUGGAGUUUAAUAUUCUGGAUCUAAAGCUGAUUGUGUUCUCAGGGCUGCAGUGUCCCUUUAAGAGACACUGUCUCUGCUCUUUCCCCAUAAUUCAGG